rnacentral:rRNA from 1 species
GACGAACGCUGGCGGCGUGCUUAACACAUGCAAGUCGAACGGAAAGGCCCUGCUUUUGUGGGGUGCUCGUUUGGCGAACGGGUGAGUAACACGUGAGUAACCUGCCCUUGACUUUGGUAUAACUUCAGGAAACUGGGGCUAAUACCGGAUAGGUGCUCCUGCUGCAUGGUGGGGGUUGGAAAGUUUCGGCGGUUGGGGAUGGACUCGCGGCUUAUCAGCUUGUUUGUGGGGUAGUGGCUUACCAAGGCUUUGACGGGUAGCCGGCCUGAGAGGGUGACCGGCCACAUUGGGACUGAGAUACGGCCCAGACUCCUACGGGAGGCAGCAGUGGGGAAUAUUGCACAAUGGGCGGAAGCCUGAUGCAGCAACGCAGCGUGCGGGAUGACGGCCUUCGGGUUGUAAACCGCUUUCGAAUGUGACGAAGCGUGAGUGACGGUAAUGGGUAAAGAAGCACCGGCUAACUACGUG